GGCAUGCACUGCCCAUAUCAAAAAAUCUCGUGCGAAAGUUCGCGGGAUACAUAGCUUGGAAGCUUUGAACAAGUACUCGUCUUGAAGAUAAACACCAUCAAUCAAAGGUCCCUGUCCAUCAGCAAGGGCAUGAUAGAGUUUUCCAAAAUCGGGGCAAGACAAGUAAUCGUGCUUAAGUCUGUCAAAACCAGUGAUGGAAACAGACAUGGCGGACAACAGGGUUACUCGUCGACUCAGCACAUCAGCAGCUUUGUUCGCUGCACCUGACAUAUGCUUGAGAACAAAAGUGUAGUCCUGGAGAAAUUAAACCCACUUAGCAUGGCGAUGAUUAAGUUUUUUU
rnacentral:lncRNA from 1 species